AUAGAUUAAGUUAUUAAGGGCGCACGGUGGAUGCCUUGGCACUAGAAGCCGAUGAAGGACGUUACUAACGACGAUAUGCUUUGGGGAGCUGUAAGUAAGCUUUGAUCCAGAGAUUUCCGAAUGGGGAAACCCAACAUGAGUUAUGUCAUGUUAUCGAUAUGUGAAUACAUAGCAUAUCAGAAGGCACACCCGGAGAACUGAAACAUCUUAGUACCCGGAGGAAGAGAAAGAAAAAUCGAUUCCCUUAGUAGCGGCGAGCGAAACGGGAAGAGCCCAAACCAACAAGCUUGCUUGUUGGGGUUGUAGGACACUCUAUACGGAGUUACAAAGGACGACAUUAGACGAAUCAUCUGGAAAGAUGAAUCAAAGAAGGUAAUAAUCCUGUAG
rnacentral:rRNA from 1 species